UAAUUACCGUUAAGUACAAAAUGUAUUUACAAUAAAAAGUAAAAACUUCUCAAUACACCCUGUCGUCAUAAAAAAUUGAGAGGACAACUAGUUGGGUUAGGUCGUAAUUAGCAAAUAAUAAAUAUGGGAUUUUAGAGGUUCGCCCUAAUCGGGCUACGUUUACUGUGGUUGAAUUUGUAUUCCACCAUGUAUUUGGGGUGUACAAUUUAUAUAAGAAGAGCUAUGAUAUCUAGGGAGGGAGAGGAAGGCUUAGAAGGCAUUUACAUAGAGAAAUGGGAGAGAAGUGUGCCCAGGUUUCCUUCUAGCCGCCUUCCUCCUCUUAAAGGCCCCUGGACAAGAAUGUAUGAUUUAGGGCAUAACUUAGAGCAUCUCCGCCAGGUGAACAAAAGGCAGAACAAGGGCAAGAAACAUAUCUGCAAUACCAAACAAAAGGCAGAACAAGGGCAAGAAACAUAUCUGCAAUACCAAAAAUCACCUCCAGCGAUCGAAGAAGAAGAGGACAAGUGGUGGGCCAUGCGAAACCCACCCAAAAGCUCGAGCAACUUAUGCCCGACCUUGCGCCAGAAGGCAUGACCCGACGUCAUGCUAGCGUCGGCGAGUAUUCCUGAGUUGACGUGGCGAGUCAAGAUGAUUGCAUGGUCGUCCUUCACUUGUGGGAUACUUGGCCAUCCUUCACUCGUGGGAUAAAUGGUUCCCUCCAUGUCAUCCUCAAGGCUCCCAAGUCUUCCUUCGUUAGUGACGUGAAUAAGUGUGAAAAGUCUUCCUCGAUUUAUGUGCAAAGUAUGUAGCAUCAACACACCCAAUACUGUACAGAUAAGAGUAAU
rnacentral:lncRNA from 1 species